UACGUAGGGUGCGAGCGUUGUCCGGAAUUAUUGGGCGUAAAGGAGCUCGUAGGCGGUUUGUUGGCGUCGGCUGUGAAAACCUACAGCUUAACUGUGGGCCUGCAGUCGAUACGGGCAGACUUGAGUUCGGCAGGGGAGACUGGAAUUCCUGGUGUGCGGUGAAAAUGCGCAGAUAUCAGGAGGAACACCGGUGGCGAAAGCGGCUCUCUGGAAACGGUACUGACGC
rnacentral:rRNA from 1 species